AACGAACGCUGGCGGCAUGCCUAACACAUGCAAGUCGAACGGGAUCCUAGCUUGCUAGGUGAGAGUGGCGGACGGGUGAGUAACACGUGGGAAUCUGCCUUUUGGUUCGGGAUAACCGCGGGAAACUGCGGCUAAUACCGAAUGCCCUCGAGAGAGGAAAGAUUUAUCGCCAGAAGAGGAGCCCGCGUCCGAUUAGGUAGUUGGUGGGGUAAAGGCCUACCAAGCCGACGAUCGGUAGCUGGUCUGAGAGGAUGAUCAGCCACACUGGGACUGAGAUACGGCCCAGACUCCUACGGGAGGCAGCAGUGGGGAAUAUUGGACAAUGGGGGCAACCCUGAUCCAGCAAUGCCGCGUGAGUGAUGAAGGCCUUAGGGUUGUAAAGCUCUUUUUGCCGGGGACGAUAAUGACGGUACCCGGAGAAUAGGUCCCGGCUAACUUCGUGCCAGCAGCCGCGGU
rnacentral:rRNA from 1 species